AAGAAAGCAAAAGGAGGCAGAUAAGUAGUGUAAGUUAUUGACAAUGAUCUAGUUUGUUUAUUUUUUGUUUUGAGGUGGUUUGUUGUUUUCUUUUGUUUAAUUCAGCGGUGCUCUACCAUUGAGCUACACCCCCAGUCCUUUUUAAAAUUUUGUUUCGAAACAGGGUCUUGCCAGGUUAGCAAGGCUGGUCUUGAACUUGCAGUCCUCUUGCCUCAACCUCCAGAACAGCUGGGAUUAUGAGUAUGUACUACUAUGCCCAGCUAUAAUGAUCUAGUUUGAGAUUGGACAAUAGGUUCAUGGGUAUAACUAGUCAAACAAACUAACAAUGACAGUGUGGUGUAUUUAUCAUUAUUAUUUAGCCUUGUUCUAGAUUGAUUAUAUUUAAUCAAGAAAAACAUUGAUGUUAAAAAUAUAGUGAAAAAGAGGAGGAUUUUUUUUAAAUUAUUAUUGCCCAAUUAAUAUUGUGGAAGAAAACUUGAAAAUGCCAAUAAGAAACAUAAGAAGCAAUCAUUUGAAAUGAAAAAAAAAUGGGAAGGGAAGAAUCAUUUGAAGGCUUAUCACAUUAUUCAAUAAUAUCAACAUUGUUUUAAACUGUGUCGGUUUUCCCUAAGUUAAAUUACCUAUUUUUCAUAAUUCCAGUAAAGUACAAAGAUAUCUUUUUUAUUUGGGCAAGCUGUUUUUAAAUGGGAAAAUAAAAUGCCCCUUUAAUAAUCCUUUCAACGAAGAAAAAUUAGUCCUACCAGAUAAAAAAAUAUAUAUAUAUAUUACCAAACUACAUAACUGAAGCAAUAUGGUACUGGUACAUAAAAAGACAAACCAAAUAGGCAAAUAGAUCCAAAAUGCACAUACAAUGUUGAUGAAAACAAAAGGAAACUCUUGAACACUGUUGGUAAAUUAGUACAAUCAUUAUUAAAAUAAUAUGAGUCCCUCAGAAUAUUAGUAUGGUUACCAUGCAAUCCAGUAAUCGCCCUACUGGUUAUAUGUCCAAAGAAAUGGAAUCAAGUGUCCAUCAAGAAAUGAAAUGGAUGAAGAAAAUACAGUAUAUAAACCCAGUGUAAUCUCACUUGUGACAGCAUGGGUGAACUUAAAAGAUGUGCUAAGUGAAAUAAACCAUGUAAUACCACAUGUUCUCACAUGUGGAGCAAAGAACUUUGAAUUCACAGAAGUAGAAUAGAAGGUUGAUUCCACAGGCUCAGGGAAAGGGUACAUAGGGAGCUGUUUGUCAACACUCAGAGGAAUAAGUUUUGGAGACCUAUUGUACAGUGUGGUGACUACUUAAUGUAUGCUUAAAAGUUGCUAAGAGAUUAGACCUUAAAUCUUAAGUAUGUGAGGUGAUGGACAUAUUAAGUAGUUUAAUUUAAUCCUUUCACAAUAUAUACAUGUUUCAAAUAUCACAUUAGCCCCGGUGUAGUGGUACACAUCUCUGGUUCCAACUACUCAGGAGGCUAAGGCAGAAAGAUUGCUGGACAGCAUAGAAACUGCCUCAAGAAACAAAAGUAAUUAUACACCAUUAAUAUGUAUCAUCUUUGUCCAUUUGAAAAUGUAUAUGGGAACUUUAGAAUAUGAUAAAGUUGCUUUUUCAAAUAAGUAAAGAUGGAUUAGUUAAGUAAGUGGUCAUUUGGAAACAGUUGAUUCCUGUUUUAUGUCUUGCACUAAAGUUAUUCAAAAUGGGCUAGAAUGCUGUGGUUUGAAUAAGGGUUGUGUUGCCUUACCAUGAGUCCAAGCAAUGUACCAGUGGAUCAGGGACUGAAACCAUGAGCUAGAAUAAACCUUUCCUCCUUUUUGAGUUGAUUAUCUCAGGUAUUUUGUCACAGUGACAGAAAAUAACACAAUGGAAUAAAAAUUUUAAGUAUGAAAAGAACAUGUAAAUAUGAGGAAAAGAAUAGAGGAAAAUGUUUUAUUUCCUACAAAUUGAGAAUCCCGGAGUAUUUUUAAAAAGAUUGAGGGGGUUGGGGUUGUGGCUCAGUGGUAGAGUGCUCACCUAGUAUGCUUGAGGCACUGAGUUUGAUCCUCCACACCACAUAAAUGUAAAAUAAAGAUAUUGUGUCCACUUAAAAAACUAAAAAAUAUUUUUUAAAAACCCAAAGAUUGAUAAAGC
rnacentral:lncRNA from 1 species